rnacentral:rRNA from 1 species
UACGUAGGGUGCGAGCGUUGUCCGGAAUUAUUGGGCGUAAAGGGCUCGUAGGCGGUUUGUCGCGUCGGGAGUGAAAACACCGGGCUUAACUCGGUGCUUGCUUCCGAUACGGGCAGACUAGAGGUAUGCAGGGGAGAACGGAAUUCCUGGUGUAGCGGUGAAAUGCGCAGAUAUCAGGAGGAACACCGGUGGCGAAGGCGGUUCUCUGGGCAUUACCUGACGCUGAGGAGCGAAAGUGUGGGGAGCGAACAGGAUUAGAAACCCCAGUAGUCC